UUAAUUAUAGUAUAUUAUUACAUAGCUUUUUCACGGCUAAAAUCCCUUUCUUAUAGGGUAAUUAAC
rnacentral:tRNA from 1 species